GAUGAACGCUGGCGGCGUGCCUAAUACAUGCAAGUCGAACGCUGAAGGAGGAGCUUGCCCUUCUGGAUGAGUUGCGAACGGGUGAGUAACGCGUAGGUAACCUGCCCGGUAGCGGGGGAUAACUAUUGGAAACGAUAGCUAAUACUGCAUGACAACAGCCAUUGCAUGAUAAUUGUUUAAAAGGGGCAAUUGCCCCACUACCAGAUGGACCUGCGUUGUAUUGGCUAGUUGGUGAGGUAACGGCUCACCAAGGCGACGAUACAUAGCCGACCUGAGAGGGUGAUCCGACACCCUGGGACUGGGACACAGCCCAGGAUACUCCGAGAGGCAGCCAUAGAGAAAGGUAGGUAAUCGACGGACGUCUGACCGAGCUACGCCGCGUGCAUGAAGACGGUUUUCGGAUCGUAAAGCUCUGUUGUAAGAGGAGAAAGAGUGGGAGCGUAGAAGGUUCAGACUGUGACGGUAUCUUAUCAGAAACGCACGGCUAACUACGUG
rnacentral:rRNA from 1 species